CCUACGGGAGGCAGCAGUAGGGAAUCUUCCGCAAUGGACGAAAGUCUGACGGAGCAACGCCGCGUGAGUGAUGAAGGUUUUCGGAUCGUAAAACUCUGUUAUUAGGGAAGAACAAAUGUGUAAGUAACUGUGCACAUCUUGACGGUACCUAAUCNGAAACC
rnacentral:rRNA from 1 species